rnacentral:rRNA from 1 species
CCUACGGGUGGCUGCAGUGGGGAAUAUUGCACAAUGGGCGCAAGCCUGAUGCAGCCAUGCCGCGUGUGUGAAGAAGGCCUUCGGGUUGUAAAGCACUUUCAGCGGGGAGGAAGGCGGUGAGGUUAAUAACCUUAUCGAUUGACGUUACCCGCAGAAGAAGCACCGGCUAACUCCGUGCCAGCAGCCGCGGUAAUACGGAGGGUGCAAGCGUUAAUCGGAAUUACUGGGCGUAAAGCGCACGCAGGCGGUCUGUCAAGUCGGAUGUGAAAUCCCCGGGCUCAACCUGGGAACUGCAUUCGAAACUGGCAGGCUAGAGUCUUGUAGAGGGGGGUAGAAUUCCAGGUGUAGCGGUGAAAUGCGUAGAGAUCUGGAGGAAUACCGGUGGCGAAGGCGGCCCCCUGGACAAAGACUGACGCUCAGGUGCGAAAGCGUGGGGAGCAAACAGGAUUAGAUACCCUUGUAGUC